rnacentral:rRNA from 1 species
GAUGGACGCUAGCUACAGGCUUAACACAUGCAAGUCGAGGGGAAACGAUAUUGGAAGCUUGCUUCCGAUAGGCGUCGACCGGCGCACGGGUGAGUAACGCGUAUCCAACCUGCCCAUCACUUGGGGAUAACCUUGCGAAAGUAAGACUAAUACCCAAUGACGUCUCUAGAAGACAUCUGAAAGAGAUUUAAAAGAUUUAUCGGUGAUGGAUGGGGAUGCGUCUGAUUAGCUUGUUGGCGGGGUAACGGCCCACCAAGGCGACGAUCAGUAGGGGUUCUGAGAGGAAGGUCCCCCACAUUGGAACUGAGACACGGUCCAAACUCCUACGGGAGGCAGCAGUGAGGAAUAUUGGUCAAUGGACGAGAGUCUGAACCAGCCAAGUAGCGUGCAGGAAGACGGCCCUAUGGGUUGAAACUGCUUUUAUACUAGGGUAAACUCACCUACGUGUAGGUGACUGAAAGUAUAGUACGAAUAAGGAUCGGCUAACUCCGUGCCAGCAGCC